AACCCCGAACCCCACGGGGCUUUGAUAAAUCGUGGCUCAGACUCCCCACUAGUCCCAGGACCCCAUCUCGGGUACCCACCAGGCUCCCACGCAGUUCUAGCCCCCCACACCCUUGAUCCGCCCCGCAGGCAGGUACUUCCCGGAGCGAGCGGGGAACGCGACGUACCCCAGUGCGCCUCGGCACACCAUUGCUCCCCGAAACUGGGGUGUCCAGGCGGAACAGCAGAGCCCAGGUCCCGCGGCCUAUACGGUGCCCUCGCUCUUGGGUCCGCGCGUCAUCGGCAAAGUCUCCGCCCCAACUUGCUCCAUCUACGGCCGCAGAGCGGCUGGCAGUUUCUUCGAGGACCUCAGCAAGGUGGGGGAGGGGCCGGGGCGGACGCAGGGGGUCCCUGGUCCGCGGCAGUGGAGGCGGCAGCCAGCACCCUCUGCCCUCUCGCAGACCCCGGGCCCCUGCGCCUAUCAGGUCGUGAGUCCAGGGGUCUACAAGUCCCGGGCCCCCCAGUUCACGAUUCUGGCGCGGACUUCGCUCCCCCAAGACAACACUCGGAAGCCAGGGCCCGCGGCCUACAACGUGGAUCAGGUGGCCUGGAGCCCAGGGUCAAGGGUCAGAGUCAGGAGAGUGGGGAGGGCCUGAGGUCGGAGUGAUGGGAUCAGAGUCCCCGGGGGUCCAGGGGUCCCGGCGCGGAGAGGAUGCCGGCCCCGCGAGGUCAGCGGUGUCUCCGGGCCCGCAGCACCGGAAGCCCCGCGGCUGGA
rnacentral:lncRNA from 1 species